CUUGAUUAUCUCUAUCCAUUACAGGGGAUCUCUGCUGUUACGUGACACUUCCUACGGCUCCCAUGAGCUCUCAGAAGGCGGCAAAAAGCUGAAUCGUGGCUUUGCAGGCUCUGGCUGAAAAAAAGUAGCUCGUUUGGUAGUGGCUGGUCACAGUACUGUGAGACUCAGGCACAUGCACGAGGGGACUCCAUGUUUUAUCUUUGAACGAAAACCACCGCUCCCGGUCGGGAAUAUUAUCGCUUUUUUACGAGAAAAAUGGCAUAAAAAUUGAUUUUAAACAGCGGCUGACAUGCUUCGAAGUACGGUAAUGGAAUAUUUAGAAUUUUUUUGUCACGAAAUGCGUCAUGCGCGUGACCCUUAUUUACACUUCGGAUAGUGUCUUGAACGCACGAACAAAACGCCGCUAUUUGGAUAUAACUAUGGAUUAUUUUGGACCAAACCAACAUUUGUUAUUGAAGUAGCAGUCCUGGGAGUGCAUUCUGACGAAGAACACCAAAGGACAAUGACCCAACACACCUCCAGGCUGUGUAAGGGCUAUUUGACCAAGAAGGAGAGUGAUGGAGUGGUGCAUCAGAUGACCUGGCCUCCAACAUACCUCAACCAAAUUGAGAUGGUUUGGGAUGUGUCGGACCGCAAGUGCAUAGCAUAUGUGGGAACUCCUUCAAGACUUUUGGAAAAGCAUUCCAGGUGAAUCUGGUUGAGAGAAUGCCAAGAGUGUGCAAAGCUGUCAUCAAGGCAAAUGGUGGCUUUUGGAAGAAUCUCAAAUAUAAAAUAUAUUUGGUUUUUGGUUACUUCAUGAUUCCAUAUGUGUUAUUUCAUAGUUUUGAUGUCUUCACUAUUAUUCUACAAUGUAGAAACUAGUAAAAAUAAAGAAAAACCCUUGAAUGAGUAGGUGUUCUAAAACUUUGUAUGGACAUAAUGUAUUUACUUAUUUAUUCUCAUUUUCAAGUAUAGGUGACAAAUCAUGCAUUCCGAUUCUUGCAUAGAUUGUAACAGACACAUAUGAUGUGUGUAAAAUACUUUUUUGAUGGUUGUACUGAUUAUGAUGUGCUAAUGCUAAGCUACUUGCCGGCUAUGUGUGGCACCAUGUUUGUUGACAUCAUUCAAUGCUUUCUGGCUUUCACGUAAGCGUAUGUAAGACCAAAGAUGUUAUAACAAGGAAUAGUUCACUCGACUGACUUAUGGUGCUUUCAAGACAACUGGGAACUCAGAAAAAUAUUAGGUCAAAUCAUGACAUCAGCGAUCUUCAGGUCGGAAAGUCGGCACUCUAGAAAGAGGCCCGAGUUCCCGAGUUGAAUGCCGUUCAAAAGAUUCUUCCCAGUCAGAGCUCGUUUUUUCAGAGUUCCCAGGUGUCUUGAACGUACUGAAGUCGGAAGUCUGAGAUUUCCGAGUUCCCAGUUGUUUUGAAUGUGGCAUCAGAUUGUAACUUUGGAACCUCAGGGUUGCCAGCUCAGACCCCCAUUCCAGGGGUAUUUAUUUUUAUUUAGAGUAUAAACUUCUCCUGUGUUUGCCUCCGAUUGAUAAAUCACCCAUCAUAGUAAAAUUUCCUGCAUCAUAUCCUCACACGAUACCUUCCCCCCAUGGACUUGAAAACCCCCCACAAAUGAAAUGAUCCCCCCGCAAACCCCCCUAAAAUGGUUUCAUCCCUGUUUAGCUUUCGCGCUAUGGUUAAGCUAGGCAGUAGGCUUGUAUUUGGGGUAAUGGUAAAUGACUUGUCAAGUUAUAUGCUCCAGUU
rnacentral:lncRNA from 1 species